AUCUAGCCGAAGAGUCCCAAACAGGACGAAACGCACUUCUUGGA
rnacentral:hammerhead_ribozyme from 1 species